rnacentral:rRNA from 1 species
GUAUUAUUUAUAUUUUAAAUUGAAAAUUUAUUUAUUGUUUUAGUAUUGUUUUGAAUUAAUAUUUUUGUUAUAGUUUAUUUGUACUGUUAAGGAUUUAUUUAUAAUUUUUAUAGUAAAAUUAAUUUUGUACCUUUUGUAUCAGGGUUGAUUUAAUAAUUUUAUUUAUUUAUUUUUCUCGAAUUAACUUGAUUUAAUUAAUUAUGUUUUUUAAAGUUAUAUAUUUAUAUAUUAUAAUUAAUUAGUUGUGAAAUGUUAUUCGUAAGUUAAGAUAUCUAGUUUUCUAAUAAGUGAAUUUAAUUUAGUUAUUUUUAUUUAAUUUAUAAUUUAUUUUUAUAAAUUAUUUAUUUAUAAUAAGAUUUUGGGGGAUUAGCUCUUAAAUUAAUUUUAUAAUUUUUAUUUUUAAUUAAUAUGUAGGUUUUAUAUUAUCCAACAUUAUUGAGUAUAUUAUAAUUUAUUAUUUUAUUUUAUUCAAUUUAUUUUAAUUUAAUUAUUUAUUGGAAUUAUUUAUUUAUUUUUUUAAUUUUUGAAAUAAUGAUUUAAUUAGUAUAUUUUUAUAUAAAUUUAUUUUUUAUAUUAAAUUGUUAUAAGGAAUUCAGCAAAAUAUUUAUUCGCAUGUUUAUCAAAAACAUCUUUUCUUGUAUUAUAUUUGAAAUUUGACCUGCUCAAUGAUUUUAUUUAAUAGCCGCAGUAUUUUGACUGUGCAAAGGUAGCAUAAUCAUUAGUUUAUUAAUUGUAAACUGGAAUGAAUGGUUGGACGAAAUAUUAACUGUCUCAUAAUUAUUAUUAUAACUUAAAUUUUUAGUUAAAAUGCUUAAAUUUUUUUAUAGGACGAGAAGACCCUAUAGAUCUUUAUUGUUUAAUUAAUAUUUAUUUUUGGAUUAUUUUUAUUUUAUUAAUUAACUUAUUUAGUUGGGGUGACAUUAAGAUAUAAUUAACUCUUAUUAUUUAUAAUCAAUUGUUUUUGUAUAUUUGACCUUUUAUUAUUGUUUUAAGAUGAAGAUACCUUAGGGAUAACAGCGUAAUUCUUUUUGAGAGUUCUUAUCGACAAAAGAGAUUGCGACCUCGAUGUUGGAUUAAGAUUAAUAUUAGGUGAAGGUGCUUAAUAAUUAAGUCUGUUCGACUUUUAAAAUCUUACAUGAUCUGAGUUCAAACCGGCGUGAGCCAGGUUGGUUUCUAUCCUUAAUUAUUAAUUUUAUAUUAGUACGAAAGGACCAUAUAAAUUAAAUAUUUUAUUUUAUAUUAUUAUUUAUAAUUAAUUUGGCAGAUUAGUGCAA